rnacentral:lncRNA from 1 species
AGAAGAAGAAGAAAAGAGGAGGUGGCUGCGGCAAGGGCUGCAGCGAGGAGCUGUGGGGCGUUGGGGAGGAGAAAGGAAGAAGAGGAGAAGAAGAAAAGAAGAAGAGGGAAAAGAAGAGAGGAGGAAGAAGAGGGAGAAGAGAAGAAUAGAAGAAGAAGAAAAAGAGAGGGAAGUGGGAGAGGAGCGAGAGGUGGCAGCAGCUAGGGCUGCAGCACCUCUGUUUCCUGCAGGUGGAAACAGAGGAGAGGUGUGGGGCAUUCGAAGAGGAGAAGAAGAAGAAGAGGAAGAGAAGAAGAAGAGGAAGUAGGAAGAGGUUAUGAUACCUCUGUAUCUUGUAGAGGAAAUAGAGGAGGUGUGGGGUGUCGGGUAGGAGAAGGGAAGAAGAAGAAGGAGAAGAAGGAAAAUAAGAAGAAGAGGAAGAGAAGAAGUAGAAGCGGGUGAAGAGGCGUCACCUUUGUUUUCUGCAGGAGGAAACAGAGGAGAGGAGGUGCUAUUCGUCGGGGAGAAGAAGGGGAGGAAGGAGAAGAAGAGAAGAAGAAGAAAGGAAGGAGAAAGAAGAGGAGAAGGGAAAGAAGUAGCUGCGGCUGCGGUUGUGGCAGCUGCAGCUGUGGCAGGGAAAGAGUAAGAGGAAGGAAGAAGGGAAGGAGAGGAAGAAGAGAAGGGGAAGAAGGGGCUGCGGCUGUGGCGAUGGCAGCUGCAGUUGGAAGAGAAGAAGGAGAGGAAGAUGAGCAGGGGAGGAAGAAGAGGCUGCGGCCGUGGCUGAGGCUGCGACUGCAGCAGUGCAGCUGGGAAAGAUGAGAAGGAAAGGAAGAAGAAGAGAAAGGAAAAGGGAAGAAGAGAGGAAGAGGAGAAGGGGAGGCAGCUGCGGUAGUGGCAGCCGCAGCUGGAAGAGAAGGAGAGGAAACAGAGUAG